rnacentral:lncRNA from 1 species
UGAUAUUCCUUCUUGAUGGAUAAGUUUUGGGUUGAGGAUAUUACUAGAAACUUGGAAAUAUCCUGCACAUAAACUAAUAAACAAAAAUGUUUUGUCGAUCUUUUGUUUCUACUAAAGAUAAAGAUCGUAAACAUAUAUGUCUGACUGGGAUGCUUUCAUGUUCUGGCAUGCUUUCGUUAUCUAUGAAUGGCUGGGAAUUUGGUGAAGAGAACACGGUUUCUACGUUGAAGAAAAAAGAGGUCAUUGUCAUAUGCAGUAAUGAAAAUUAAGAUUGGUGGCGAGAAUAGGGAAUAGGUGUAGUGCAGAGAAAGGUGUGGAGAAAAAGGGUGGCCCAAAAGGUGUUGUUUGGUGGUUACUGACGAUAAGGAGCUGUCCCUAUAUCUUUUUCCUGUCCAUGGUUGGUCGCAAUCCUUU